CUGAGCCUCAGAUUCAUCUGUAAAAUGGGAAAAGAAAGGAUCUCUGUGAGUUUUUAUGAGAUCAGUAUUAUUUGUCACAGUAGCUACUGUUUAUUAAGCCCCCCACCCCAACACCACCCUUUGUGCCAGGGGCUUUGUCAAGCACCUUCUAAGCAUGUAGUGUGAUACAGAGGUCAAGGGUGAAGGCUCUUGGGAACUGAUAGAACUUGGUUAAAAGCCCAGACCUGCUACUUGCUAACUGCGGGAACCCAGGCAAGACUGUUAACCUCCCAGGGCCUCACCCUGCUCAUCUUUAAAAUGGGGAUGAUAAAUAGGAUGAUAAAAUGACAACGCCUGUCUCCACAGGUUAUCACACAGUGCCUUUAUUCAACAACAUGCCUUUGUCAGUUCCAUCCUCCCCGGGCAAAUGGGAGCGGUGGGAUGGGGUGUCCUGGGGCUUUGAAACCAUCCUGGUGUUUACUCCAGCCCAGAGAAGAGACUCGGUGGAACUCGUGAUUGGAAAGAUCUGCAGGAGAUUGCCUGUUCUGGAAUGAAGAUGCCAUCACACUGUGACACUGGAAGAAUGCUGACCUGAUGUCCGGGGGCCAGGAGCAGGGAUAGCUGUCCUGUUUAAAGGGGCGGGUCUCCCAACGGACCCACCGCUGACUGCUCAGUCCCUCAUUCCCCCUGGUAGAGUGUCCCAGCCACCUUUGUCCUCGCCUGCCUGCCGGCUGAGAGCUGGCCCCGGCUGUGGCCUGCAGAGCUACGUCUACCCAGCACCCCCUCGCCGUCUAGCGUGUGCACACCGCCUGCCUGUGGUCAGAUUCCUGAGUUUUCAUGCCCACUGCUUCCCAACCCCAGGUGCAAACCAGUCCCUGUCACCGGGGACUUUUGACUGAGCCUCACACGGGGGAAGGGGGCUGAGAUGGUCUCUUGCUGUUACAGACAGAGCAGGAGAGGAUAAGAGCUCGGGCGGGUGGGGGCCCUGGCUGAGCCCAAGGGGGCGCGGGACCCAACCUGGGAACGCUGCUGACCUGAGCAGCUGGGCCUCAGGGCGCCGGCCUGAGCCAACUCUUCUGCCCUCUUUCCCCGCCUCAUCGAGGGGGAGGCUCCGCGAACCCGCCGCCCAGUGUCUCCUCCUCCUCCUCCGGGCCUGUCACCAUUUCCACACACAGCAGGGUCUGUGGGGGCGGAGGCUUUUUCCAGACAUGUAUUUAAGUGAGGAGAGAAAACAAGGCGAGUCGCCCAGGAUUUGCCAAGUCAGUAGGCAGGAACACAACUCGAGAGGCCAAAAAUAAGACGGCGGCGAGGGUCACCCUGCUCUUCUGAGCCGGGCGCGGGUGACGGCCCGUGCUGAGCAUUCCACAAUCACACUUCUGUCUGAGGGUGCCCCUUCAUCCCGGGGCAUCGGCCUCCUGGUCAGAAGGUGGCAGAGCCCUGAUUGUGGGCAGUGAGCAAUGGUGACUCAGGAAAAUUCGAAAGGACACAGGGAACACCCCCAAAGUCAUCUGGGGACAGGCCCUGGUUCCCCCUGCCGGUCAGGGAGCCAGGAGUUCUGGUCUCCCAUUGUAAAGGAGGAAUUUCUGAAGUUCUCUCUGGAACUUUGGCAGAAUUCUGUGGGAUCUUUCAGAGGAAGCAUUACGCUUUGGGUGUUUUUCUGGAGGGGAAAUUACUAAGAUUUCUUUCACCUUUAUAGCUAUUUGUGAAUUAGCUCCUUUUCCCUUUUAGCUCCAGAUUAUAUUUGUCUCUUUAUUCUGAUGCAGCAUCUGUUACCUUGUAUGACGAACAGUACUCCCGAAAGCAAGUAAGGACAGUAAUAAUAGCUAACAUUUAUUCAGCCCUUAUGGCAUGCCAGGUACUGGUCUCUCUGUGUAAUUUUUGUGGUUCAUCAAAUCUGAGGCUCCAUCAGUCUUCAGAUAUGCCAUGUAUGAUGUACCACUAAAGAAUACUGCCAAUUAAUCCACGACAUGCCAUUGAUUUUAAGAUUCACUUGGCGCUCAGAAAUGUUAAAACGGGAACGUUAGAAUCAAUGAAAUGCAGUAACCGAUUCUCAGUUGUCAUCCUUGCCUUACAGCCUUACCGAGGAACAGAGAAGUUGGGUAAACCUGCCUGAUGCCACAGAGCGACUAUGUGGUGGAAAUGGGAUAUGAACCCAGGUUCAGGCUUCAAAACCUGGGCUCCUAACCGCCACGCUGUAUUGUGUCUGAGAAGUGGUUUCUGUCUAUCCACCGGCGGGACAGAAGGAGGGACACAAAACACAAGAGGGAGAGCUGGACCCCACCCUCUGCUCCCUCUUCCUCAUCGCCCCCAGGGCCAGUGUUGAUGCCCCGUCUAAAAACUGCUCCUCCUCUCACUCCCAGCAGCUGGCACCCUGGUUCUGUCCUUCCUUGCCUCCCUCUUGCCCCUGCUUGGACUUCUGCUGUAGCCUCUUAGCUGUCGCCCUCCUCCAAUCUUUCCCCCACACCUCCACACACACAGACACACACACUGAGACAGUCAUCUUCUUAAAAUGUGAAUCUGGUCUUGUCGCUGUUCCAAAACCUUGAAGAGAUCCAAAUCUUAGCAAGCGAUUUCUCACUCCUUUAGCUGUUUCAGCACCUACUCUGUGCCCGGCUCAGAGGAUGGAAAGGUGAGCAACCCCCAGCGUGGUCCGCAGCCAUGGUCUCACAGAGAAGCGAGACUCCUCAGUGGGCAGGUAUGACUCAGUGUGAAAAUGCUUCCAGGGGUGGGAGUGAAGUGCUGGGCUGGUGGGAGGAGCACCUGCUCUGGGGACUCGGCGACCCCUUCGUGGAGGUUGAGUGGGAGUUCACCAGGCAAAGAACAUCGAGGAUUCCCAAGCAGAGGGAACAGCAGGUACAGUGGGCCAGAGCUGACGGAGAGGUUGGAGCAGAGUAUCAGUGGGGUGUGUCCCAGGUGAGUCUAGAGGGUUAGGCUUGGAGUGGCUGGGCAAGGCUGUCUCUAACUGCCGACACCUUUCCUUUUCAGCCUCUGCUCCCUUCUCCUCCUCUCCCCACGGUAUCUCUCUGCAGUAGGUACUUGAUUCUCAGACAGGCAUCUUCCUCUUCCCCCAUCCUCCACAGGCAGUGACAUUCUCAUCAGCAAACUUGUCCUUCCAGACCCUCCCUGGUGAAAAUAACCCUGACCCUUGACUUAGCUCUCUGGCCUCUUGAGCCAGGCAAAAGCCUGGAAAACUUAUCUUGGGCUCAAAAUAGGCGGGGAAGGGGGGAUUUUGGAGAAUUUUUAACAGAAUUCAGCUGAGUAAAAGCCAAAGUUCUUACAAAGGCCUGUGAGACCCUGCACAGACUGGGUGACCUGCCCCCGCAGCCUUGACCCCCAUCUUCCACUGUCUUCUCUUUGCCAGCUCUGUUUCGGCUACCCCCGUCUCCUUGCUCGUCCUCAAACACGGCCCCCACCCUGCAUCCCUGCCCCAUGUCCUUUGCACUUGCUGUUUCUAGUACACCUCUCCCCUUCCUUAUUUGUACAUCUUCAUCAGAUUUUGUUCAGAUAUCACCUCUCAGAGCGGUACAUCCUAAUACACUAUUUAAAAUUGCAACUCGUAUCAUGCUCUUCCCUCCUUUUUCUCCGCAGCACUCACCAUCUUCAAGAGCUUGUAUGAUUCACUUAUUUGUUUACUGUCUGUCUUUUCCCCUGAGAACUGAGCUCCAGGAGGGCAAGGAUUUGGGUCUGCCUGGUUCACUCGGUGUCCUCAGCACUAGCAACAGCACCUGGCAUACAGUAGGUGUGCAAAUAAGUAAAUAUUUGUUGGUUGAACAAAUGAAUUCUGAGUAGUGACUGUGUGCCAGGUAGGCUUGGCCCCGGCUGCCGUGGAGGCUGGACUGCUGCAGGAACAGGGUUUGGGCUUCUCCAAGGGUGCCGGCCAGGCUGGUUCUGGCGGGCAGUGGGACAGGUCCCUGACAGCAGGUUCACAGAAAACCAGACAGAACAAAAUGGGCAAAGAGGACCAUCCUCAUAGAGGCCUCGCUUCGGCAGGAAGGCAGACGGUCAGUGAGUCCCUUUCUGGGAGGUUUCCCUGGAGAAGUCACCUGACACGCUGGUCACGGUUACUACAUCAAGAGCUGCACCUGUGCACUUGUGCUGCCCUUAAAUCAUGUUUCCUAAGGAUGUUCACGUCAAAGGACAACACUCAUGCUACAACAUCAAGCGGAUAGAAUAUUGUGCAGGAGACACCUGUACAAGGAAGGAAGUAGACGGUGAUUACCUCUGAGUAACUGGAACUUCCACUGAAGAAGAAACUUUGCUUUCUCCUUUACACUUUUCUGCUUUGUAUGGAUGUUCUAAGAUAGACAUGCUUUGCCUUCAUGAUAAUUGGAUUUGAAAGCAGCAUUAAAAAAAGAAACAGAAAGGAAAUGCGAGUUCCCAGAAGCUGAGGAAGUACAGCAGAGGCCAGGCCCGGAGCAGAGAACUGACCCAUCCCUUUCGGGAAAAGGCAGCAGCCACGUGGAGUGGAGCAAGCCUGGUGCCCCGCCAACCGGACAGCCGGCCUCUGGGCUCACUUCCUCCAGUGCGACUGCCCAGGGGCAGAGCUGAGAACGGUGGUGGGAGUGAGCACAGCCGGGUCCACUCCCCUUCCUAUUGCCCAGGCCACGGGGGUCUGUCCCCUCUUCUUGGCCCUGUAGCACCUGGAGUUUGCCCCUCCGUCACCUCUGCUUCCAUCACAUCUCACCAGAAGCCUGCUGCAUUUAUAACCUUGUGUCUCCCCUAAGUAUGUACCCAGGGGUUCUCAGAAUGUGGUCCCCAUACCAGCAGCAUCAGCACUCACUCAGGAACUUGUUAGCAAUACAGAUUCACAGGCCCCACCCCAGACCCUCUGAAUCUGAGACUCUGGCAGGUGAAGCCCAGGAAUCCAUGUUUUAACAAGCCCUCCAGGGCUACAGUUUGACAGUGAUACAGCCCCGCCAUGGUCCAUCAUCUUACACAUUGCCAUGAUUUCCACUUAAGAGCUGGGACUCUGAGACCAUACUUUAUUAUUUUUUUUGAGCUCAUACUUUUAUUUCAACCUUUGUGCUCCACAGCUGCCUGGACUUCAGGCUGUCCUGUGGAGGUCCGGGUUGGCGCUCCGUGUUCAUCGUGCCACGGACAUGGGUUGAACCGGAGCUCGCACACUGUGGCAUCAGAGCCCUGGCUGCUCAAUUGGAAGACCAAGACUGAUUCCCCAGGAGACCCUGUGGGCCUGGCCCCCUGUAGGAUGAGGGACGCAGGCUCCCUCCGGUGAUGACAGCCAGUGGCAGUCAGGAUGGACACACGCUGCCGUGGAGGGGCGCAGCGCCACCUGCUGGCCAGAAGGACACCAGCAGCGAUGCUGGCUGAUUAAUGCAGGGACCCACACACACGCACGCACGCACGCACACACACACUCAACAGGGACACCAUGACAAGCAAGCACGUGUCUCCUCCCACUGCAUGGGGGCGGACACAUCCACACGUGGAUGUCUGGGCCCGUGGGCAUGUGGGGCUCUCUGCCACACGGCCUGGCAGAUAGCACUGAAUUCACUCAUGUACUCAUUUCUUCCUUUACCAAACGUUCUUUCAGAUAUGCCAAGCCCACAGUUGCUAUCCCUGGCUGGGUGAUGAUCAAGAGACCAGGCAGUAACUAGGCGAUGUAGGUAAGGGUCCCAGGAGAGAUGCGCCUGGUGAGGUCGCAGAGGCAGCCCCUAACCCAUCUAGACUGGAGUUGGGGGCAGGGACAAGUUGCCCAAGUGAUCCAGCCCCUGCUGGGUCAAAGCCUGUGAGCAGGAGAUGGCUGGGUGAAGGAGGCAGAGGUCAAAUAGAGCGAAGCACAGAGGAGGAGCUGGAGGGGAGAGUUGAGAUCCUGGGCAGAGGGCCUUACACAUGGGCCACAGAGUCUGGACUUUGUCCCUGCAGGCAGUGGGGAGCCAUGGAAAGCUUCUAGCCGGGAAACAGCCCGGCCGGAUUCCGGAGCCAUAGCUACUGACACGUCUGUACCGAAGCAUAGGCCCUGAGGGUCUCUCAGCCCCACCUAGGGCUGGGGGCCUUGCAUGUGGUUUGUCCCUGGGUACUGCCUCUUCUUUCUGCAGCAGCAGUCCUCGGAUGUGUCUGAGAAGGGGAGAGGCGCACCCCCGCCCCAGUCUCCAGAGAGAAGCCUGUGUCCACUCUAGAAAUGAAGCAAACAGCAGCCACUGUUAAGGCAGGCAGCCUAUGUGCCCAGAAGAUGCCCAUUUUCUACUCACCAGGCCGCCCAGACAGCUCAGAGGGUGAGAGGUCU